rnacentral:rRNA from 1 species
UUCCUACGGGUGGCUGCAGUGGGGAAUAUUGGACAAUGGGCGCAAGCCUGAUCCAGCCAUGCCGCGUGAGUGAUGAAGGCCUUAGGGUUGUAAAGCUCUUUCACCGGAGAAGAUAAUGACGGUAUCCGGAGAAGAAGCCCCGGCUAACUUCGUGCCAGCAGCCGCGGUAAUACGAAGGGGGCUAGCGUUGUUCGGAAUUACUGGGCGUAAAGCGCACGUAGGCGGACAUUUAAGUCAGGGGUGAAAUCCCGGGGCUCAACCUCGGAACUGCCUUUGAUACUGGGUGUCUUGAGUGUGGAAGAGGUCAGUGGAAUUGCGAGUGUAGAGGUGAAAUUCGUAGAUAUUCGCAGGAACACCAGUGGCGAAGGCGGCUGACUGGUCCACAACUGACGCUGAGGUGCGAAAGCGUGGGGAGCAAACAGGAUUAGAUACCCCAGUAGUCUA